rnacentral:tRNA from 1 species
AUUAAAGUGGCAGAGGCCGGUAAUUGCAUAAAACUUAAGUUUUUAAGUCCAAAGGUUCAAUUCCUUUCUUUAAUA